rnacentral:lncRNA from 1 species
UCGAUCCGACCCGCACUUACACCCGAAACCCGCUAGCGGGGCUCCCUUGUCGUCCCAGCCACCCGAGCCCUCUUUUUCAUUUUUUUUCUUCUUCUUCUUCCUCCUCCCAGUCCGAUCGCCCACUUCCUGCGCCCAGCCCGCGUCAGAUCCGUCCAAAACUCCUCCAAAACUCAGAUUUCCUCUCCUUCCUCUUCAAUCUGUGGUAUUUCUUCUCUAUUUUUUUUCUUUACAAACUGAUAUCCGUAAUCUUGCUUUUAUUUUUAUUUUUUUACAGAUUUCUUGUACUUUGUGCAACAUAAUCCUUUUCUCUACCUAGAUCUACAUCAUUUCAUCUUAAAUCUUGCAUUUUGUCAUCUUUUGCAUAAACCCUAGAUUUUUUUUUGUUUAAACCCUAAUU